CCUACGGGCGGCAGCAGUGGGGAAUAUUGGACAAUGGGCGAAAGCCUGAUCCAGCCAUGCCGCGUGUGUGAAGAAGGCCUUCGGGUUGUAAAGCACUUUCAGUGGGGAAGAAAGCCUUGGGGCUAAUACCCUCGAGGAAGGACAUCACCCACAGAAGAAGCACCGGCUAACUCCGUGCCAGCAGCCGCGGUAAUACGGAGGGUGGAGCGUUAAUCGGAAUUACUGGGCGUAAAGCGCGCGUAGGCGGUCUGAUAAGCCGGUUGUGAAAGCCCCGGGCUCAACCUGGGAACGGCAUCCGGAACUGUCAGGCUAGAGUGCAGGAGAGGAAGGUAGAAUUCCCGGUGUAGCGGUGAAAUGCGUAGAGAUCGGGAGGAAUACCAGUGGCGAAGGCGGCCUUCUGGACUGACACUGACGCUGAGGUGCGAAAGCGUGGGUAGCAAACAGGAUUAGAUACCCCAGUAGUC
rnacentral:rRNA from 1 species